UAAUUAACUGGACGUUACCCACAGAAGAAGCACCGGCUAACUCCGUGCCAGCAGCCGCGGUAAUACGGAGGGUGCGAGCGUUAAUCGGAAUUACUGGGCGUAAAGGGUGCGUAGGUGGUUGAUUAAGUUAUCUGUGAAAUUCCUGGGCUUAACCUGGGACGGUCAGAUAAUACUGGUUGACUCGAGUAUGGGAGAGGGUAGUGGAAUUUCCGGUGUAGCGGUGAAAUGCGUAGAGAUCGGAAGGAACACCAGUGGCGAAGGCGGCUACCUGGCCUAAUACUGACACUGAGGCACGAAAGCGUGGGGAGCAAACAGGAUUAGAUACC
rnacentral:rRNA from 1 species